GACGAACCGUGCGAACGUUGUUCGGAAUCACUGGGCUUAAAGGGCGCGUAGGCGGAUCGUACAGUCUAGGGUGAAAUACUCCGGCUUAACCGGAGAACUGCCUUGGAUACUAACGAUCUCGAGGGAGGCAGGGGCAGUUGGAACUUCCGGUGGAGCGGUGAAAUGCGUUGAUAUCGGAAGGAACGCCGGUGGCGAAAGCGAACUGCUGGACCUCUACUGACGCGGAGGCGCGAAAGCCAGGGGAGCAAACGGG
rnacentral:rRNA from 1 species